GGGAUAGUAACUCAGUUGGCAAGAGGAAAUUGUGUCGUCGGUUCGAGUCCGAUCUAUCCUA
rnacentral:tRNA from 1 species